GCCGGAGUGAUGAAACGGUAGACAUCGGAGACUCAAAAUCUCCUGGGCCGCAAGGUCCGUGAGGGUUCGAGUCCCUCCUCCGGUA
rnacentral:tRNA from 1 species